rnacentral:lncRNA from 1 species
UUUUUUUUUUUUUUUUUUUUUUUUUUUUUUGGUCUUUUUAGGGUGUACCCACAGCAUGCGGAAGUUCCCGGGCUAGGGGUUGAAUUGGAGCUGCAGCUGCCAUCCUCUGCCACAGCCACAGCAAUGCCAAAUCUGAGCCCCAUCUGUGACCUAUGCUGCAGCUCACAGCAGUGACAGAUCCUUAACCCGCUGAGCGAGGCCAGGGCUCGAACCCACAUCUCAGGGAUACUAGUCGGGUUCUUAACCUGCUGAGCUACAACAGCAACAACAGGAACUCCAGGAACUGUGUUUUUGUACAGGGUGGUAGAAGGUGGUGGCUGGGUAUGGGGUAUUGAGGCCAGUGGUGGAUGUUGGGAGAUUCCAACUUUAGGUUGGAACCCAUUGAGAUGAGCCCUGCCUGCUUUCAACCUGGCUUGUCUGUCAGCCAAGCAAAGAUUUAGUGUUCCUGGCCCCCAGUCCCAUCUGUCUUCUCCCUCAUCCAGUUUACCUGGGGUCACCAGGAAUCCGAGGGCUAUACAGACCAGGAGCAGGAGCUUCCUGGCUGAACGGAUGGCCUGGGAGCAGAUGGCCUGUGGUUUGAUAGAGUGAGGACCUUCUGUGUAAUGUGCUUGGAGCUACUGCCUUUAUAGGGUCUACACGAUGCCAGCAUCCAGGGCAGUGAACCAGAAGGAGAGUUCUUUGACACCCAGAACAGUCAUAUUGGAUCAGAGCGUCUACUAGACUGUAGCCUGGAUUGAUUUAUCAAGCACCUGUAUUCCAGGCUGUCAGUGGAGAAAGAGGCAAAGAGCACCAGUACGCAGUACUCAUCUUUGAAACUAUACCUUCCAGCCAGUGUUGGUGAGGGUGUGGGGAAGCUAGUGUUCUUUAAUGUUGUUGAACUGUUGUUGGGAAUUUUGCUUUUGGAGAAUAGUUUGGCAUCAGAAGUCUUAAAUGUCUGCCAUUUGACUCAGAAACCCUGUUCUUUGGACUUUUGUCUGAUGGAAAUAAUUAAACAAAUAUACAGAGAGGUUUGUCUCAACAUUGUUUGCAAUAGCAGAAAACCAAAAGCAACUUAAUGGAUGGUCAAACAUGGUUGCAAUAGACUAAAGAAUAUAAUGGAACAUUAUGUGGUCGUUAAAAAUGAUCAUAGGCGCUCCCUGGUGACCUAGCACUUAAGGAUCUAUCAUUGUCACUGUUGUGGCCUGGGUUUGGUCCCUGGCCUCAGAACUUGCUUUGUGUCUGGGUCACACAACUCAUCUGUGAUUAUUCCAUGGGGCUGAAAAAGAAUUUUCCCUCUACCCUUUUCAGUUUUUGGCUGAGACCCCCUGUAAUAAAAAACAGUGGGUUAAGGAUCCAGUGUUGCUGCGAGCUUCGACAUAGGUCACAGAUGCAGCUCACAUCCUGCGUUGCUGUGAUUGUGGCGUAGAUCUCAGAUGCAGCUCUGAUUUGACCCCUAGCCUGAGAACUUCCACUUAUAACCAUUCAAAGUCCAAAUCUAGUUGGAUAUCAGAAACCUAAAUAUAGAAAACCAUACACACACACAGACUGGUACUGAAUUAGUCGAUGGGACACAUAAGCGUCCUAGUCCAGGCUGAGACUUCUCCCCGUUGGAUUCAUGCAGCCAGUAUUGAAACUGGGACAGCACAAGCUUUAUUCAAUGGCCAAAGAAUGGAGACGUGGGAAUCUUGUUUGCAAAUCAACUUCCCAACCCAAUUUGGUAGUGACACUAAAUAUUUAGGAGGGUUGAGGUAAAAGGGAGGGAAUUGGAAAGAGUAGAAGGAAUGUUCAUGAGUUAUCUGAGAACAGGGGUUUUGGUUUGGACCAGGUCAGAUACUGCACUCCUCUGCUGUCCUUGAAUGGGCUAGUCUGGUUGUUGUCAUGGCAACCAUCAACUGUCAUGGCACUGGUAGGUCUGUCAUUUAGGAUGCUAAUACAUUACAAUGAGGCCCAAAUAUCUUGACUGUGCUUGCUUUGAAUAGAGCUGAGGUGAAGGCUGGGAGGAGAGGCACCCUUCUCUGGGUGAAACUGUGACACCAGACCUUACGACUCUGGUUGGUGGGGAAAAAAGUUCACUCUCUUCUGAGCUGCCCCGCCAGGAGUACUUGGACCUGACCUAUGUGUGUGUAGGGAGUAAAUGCUAGCCCCAUUGUCAUAGUCUCACUGUCUCACUGAAAUUAAAGAGGAUUUCUUGAAUGCAUACCCUUAGGUAAAUUUCUGGGGACUUUGUUUAAUUUUUUCCCCCCCAGAGACUUUAAGUGAUUGUUUUUUUUUUUUUUUUUUUUUUUUUUUUUGUUUUUUUUUUUUUUUUACCCCUAGCCUGGGAAUCUCCUUAUGCAGCAGAAGCAGCCCUAGAAAAGACAAAAAAAAAAAAAAAAAUAGAGAACUCAGUUGAAUAGAUUUGGGAGACCAGGAGGGGGAGCCCUCGUGCCCUAUGAUUGUUGCAGAGCCCAACAGGUAGAAGAAAGUUUCCUCUUUUCUUCUGGCAGUGAAAAGCCAUGUGAAAAGCCAUGAUCCUUUGUUUACUAUAGCCCUCCCAAAUUCCUUUUCUCCUUUAUAAAAGCAUUCUCCUUCCCUUGCUGUGGGCGGACUUGUACAUGAAUCACCAUGGCUGCAGGCUCUGAAUUGCAAUUUUGUGCUGAAACUGAAUAAACCCAUCUUGACAGUCUAUUUGUUUCAAGUAAACAGAGAGCACAUUUAAAUUUUUUUCUUUUUAUGGCUGCAUCUGCAGCAUGUGGAAGUUCCUAAACUAGGAGUUGAAUUGGAGCUGCAGCUGCUGGCCUGUGCCACAGCCACAGCAACACAGGAUCUGAGCCACAUCUGUGACCUACACCACAGCUCACGACAAUGCCAGAUCCUUAACCCACUGAGUGAGGCCAGGGAUUGAAUCCACAUCCUCAUAGAUACUAGUUGCUUUCAUAACCUGCUAAGCACAAUGAAAACUCCCACAUCUCUCAUCUUAAACUAUUCUUUAUCUCCAGGAUUGGCUCUCUUUCAUUAUCAGGAAGUCAGCCCACUGUGUUAACAGUGUUCCUUGCCUCCAUAAACUUGUCUUUUCUUCAUCUUGCUCUGAAUCUGGAAAAUUCUUCUUUCUGACCUGCGUGCACAGUCCAUGGCAUUUGCUUUUGUUGGGGGAUAUAUAAUUAAAAACAAAACCUCCUCUCAUCCCAGAAGACUUUCCACAAAGGUAGAAGAGAAAGAAAACAAUUUUGUCACUGAGUAAGCAUUAAAACAAAAUGUGAAGCAUGUGGCAAUCUGCUAAGAGACUGCAAAGACAGGAAUCUUAGGUAUUUAUGCAGCCAAGCAGAUAUAACCCACUAUAUACAUGUUCUCAAGAUAAAUAGUAACUAGCCCUGAAGUUAGAGGAGCUGAAAGCACCAUUUGCCAUGCAUAAUUUAUCCUAGAUUCACCUGAUAAUUAGAGUGGCCAUCUGUGUUUGCUAAUUUGCUUCAUCCAAAGGAAAAACAAAAUUCUCAUAUCUUUGUGGCUGAAGGUAUUUUGCAGUUUGGAGUGAGGAGCCCAAGGAAUCUGCUGAAGGCUUCUACCUUCCCACAAAAAGGGGGUGUUAGGGCACCAUCUUCCUUGAUGAUUGCAUUUCAAUGGGAUGGCUCCCAGGUCCUUAAGAAAGACAUUCCUGGGUCGUAAAUCUGUCAGGAGGUCCAUUUAUUUACUUAUUUAUUUAUUUUAAUGAUUUUUACUUUUUUUCCAUUAUAGCUGGUUUACAGUAUUCAAGGGGUCCAUUUAAAGUUUAAAAAGAUUUACAUUCAUUUUAAAGAGAGAGAGAAAAAAAAAUUUGCAACUUUCCUAAAGAAAAUGCUCUAAGAAAAGGAAGGGGAGGCUAAGUCUCUUCCCUUGUUUUCAACAGGGAGAAUUAAAGCUGUUAUUUUAUUAUUUUUUAUAUAUAUAGUCAUUUUAAUUUUUUUUCCAUUAUAGCUUGUUUACAGUGUUCUGUCAAUUUUCUACUGUACGGCAUGGUGACCCAGUUACACAUACAUGCAUAGAUUCUUUUUUCUCACAUUAUCAUAAUUCAUCAUAAGUGACCUGACAUAGUUCCCAGUGUAAAGCUGUUGUUUAAAUUUGUAUAUGAUUUCCCCUUACACUACCCUGCUUGCUGUUCCCUUCAGGGAGAAAUCUGGGGCUGUUGCAAACUAUUCUCAUUUUGUCUAUGCUUUCUAAAUUAAAAAAAGUUAAUUUUGGUGUUCUUUUUAUAGCUUCUUCAAUUGCUUGCAUAUUUUUACAUAUUUUCCUUUUAUGCACUGGUAUUUUGUUUUAAUUACACUCAUUAUAUAAUAUACAUUUAAAAUUCUGUUAAUUUGAAAAACAAUUAAAUCACUGCACACUGAUAAGAGUUGCUAAAACAAAAACUCCUGACAACACAAAUUGCUGGUGAGAAAUACAAUAUUGCCUCCUAUAGCAGUAAAUAAAGAUGUCACAGUCUUCAGCAAUUGCAGCCACCUCUGAGCUGGUGAGCCCUGAGGGAACUCAGGAAGGAACAAAGAAUACCUGCCAUCUCGCAGCCAUCGGACUGCAGUCAUUCGUGAUGGUGAGCCCUCAGGAUGUGAAAAGCACACGGUACUUGCUCCAGAGAGCUGAGAUGCUUCUCAAAGGAAGGAUUUCAGUGAGCCCAGCCCCUUGCAAUACUCCCAUACACAGAAAAGCACUACAUUUUUGAACUUGAGAUAUCUAGUUUUCUUUGACUAACAGUACUCUUUUGUUCUGACUACCUGCCCUCUGUUACAAAACUCCUGUAUAUCUUAGCUAACACCCUCCCCUCCUAGAAGUGGUUUCUUGUGGUGCUGCCUUCCAGGCUUAAGUCUUCAUUUUGUCCCAAAUAAAACUUAACUCUCUCAA